rnacentral:misc_RNA from 2 species
AACGCACAUUGCGCCCCUUGGUACUCCAUGGGGCAUGCCUGUUCGAGCGUCAUUUACACCCUCAAGCUCAGCUUGGUGUUGGGCGUCUGUCCCGCUUCGUGCGCGGACUCGCCUCAAAUGCAUUGGCAGCGGUCUUGCCAGCUUCUCGCGCAGCACAUUGCGCUUCUAGAGGCUUUGGCGGAUCGGCGUCCAUCAAGUACACCCACAGUUUGACCUCGGAUCAGGUAGGGAUACCCGCUGAACUUAA